GAUGAAGAACGCAGCGAAAUGCGAUAAGUAAUGUGAAUUGCAGAAUUCAGUGAAUCAUCGAAUCUUUGAACGCGCAUUGCGUCCCUUGGUAUUCCGAGGGGCAUGCCUGUUCGAGCGUCAUUAUAACCCCUCAAGCUCAGCUUGGUGUUGGGGCCUGCUGCACUGGCAGCCCUUAAAAUCAGUGGCGGCGCCAUCUGGCUCUAAGCGUAGUAAUUCUUCUCGCUAUGGAGUCCUGGUGGAUGCUUGCCAUCAACCCCCAAUUUUUCUAUGGUUGACCUCGGAUCAGGUAGGGAUACCCGCUGAACUUAAGCAUAUCAAUAAGCGGAGGA
rnacentral:misc_RNA from 1 species